UCACAAUUGAAUAGACGACCGGAGACAGCAGGUAGCCGCCAAGCGCUGCAUAAACCCUGCCGAGGUUGACGUAAACGACUACAGUGCUCUUGCCCAAGCUGAGCAUCCUGGGUUGUUGGUCUACCCCGGCAGAGCUGUCGGGGUUUUGUUUUUACUAA
rfam:Phormidium tenue NIES-30 NIES-30_Scaffold_13, whole genome shotgun sequence.